CCGAACCGACUAGUGUUGCAAAAUUAGCGGAUGAGCUGUGGAUAGGGGUGAAAGGCUAAACAAAUCUGGAGAUAGCUGGUUCUCCCCGAAAACUAUUGAGGUAGUGCCUCGUGUAUGGCUCCAGGGGGUAGAGCACUGUUAUGGCUAGGGGGACAUGGCGUCUUACCAAACCAUGGCAAACUCCGAAUACUUGGAAGUCUGAGCACGGGAGACAGAGCACCGGGUGCUAACGUCCGGACUCAAAAGGGAAACAACCCAGACCGCCGGCUAAGGUCCCUAAUAUUGACUAAGUGGAAAACGAAGUGGGAAGGCUAAGACAGUCAGGAAGUUGGCUUAGAAGCAGCCAUCCUUCAAAGAAAGCGUAAUAGCUCACUGAUCGAGUCUUCCUGCGCGGAAGAUGUAACGGGGCUAAGUCAAUAACCGAAGCCGCGGAUUCGCAGCAAUGCGAGUGGUAGGGGAGCGUUCUGUAAGCCUGCGAAGGCGGAUCUGCGAGGACCGCUGGAGGUAUCAGAAGUGCGAAUGCUGACAUGAGUAACGUUAAAGCGGGUGAAAAGCCCGCUCGCCGCAAGCCCAAGGUUUCCUGCUCUACGUUCAUCGGAGCAGGGUGAGUCGGCCCCUAAGGUCAGGCUGAGAAGCGUAGCUGAUGGGAAGCUGGUUAAUAUUCCAGCACCGAUUUCAAGUGCGAAGGGGGGACGGAGUCCUGAAGGUCAUCCGGGUGUUGGAUAUCCCGGUUUACGAGCGUAGGAGGUUGACAGGCAAAUCCGUCAACGAAUCUCCAAGGCGAAGGAUCGAGGUUGAGAGAUCAACUGAAGUGACUGAAUGGGCUUCCAGGAAAAGCCUCUAAGCAUCAGCUUGGAAUUGACCGUACCGCAAACCGACACUGGUGGGCGAGCUGAAUAUGCUCAGGCGCUUGAGAGAACUCAGGAGAAGGAACUCGGCAAAUUGACACCGUAACUUCGGGAUAAGGUGUGCCUUUGUAGUGUGAAGGGAGAAACCCCCCGAGCAUGAAGAGGCCUCAGAGAAUCGGUGGCUGCAACUGUUUACUAAAAACACAGCACUCUGCAAAGAUGAAAGUCGACGUAUAGGGUGUGAUGCCUGCCCGGUGCUGGAAGAUUAAUUGAUGGGGUGCAAGCUCCUGAUCGAAGUCCCAGUAAACGGCGGCCGUAACUAUAACGGUCCUAAGGUAGCGAAAUUCCUUGUCGGGCAAGUUCCGACCUGCACGAAUGGCAUAAUGAUGGCCACACUGUCUCCUCCUGAGACUCAGUGAAGUUGAAAUGUUUGUGAUGAUGCAAUCUCCCCGCGGCUAGACGGAAAGACCCCAUGAACCUUUACUGCAGCUUUGCAUUGGACUUUGAACCGAUCUGUGUAGGAUAGGUGGGAGGCAGUGAAGCUAGGACGCCAGUCUUAGCGGAGCCAACCUUGAAAUACCACCCUGAUUUGUUUGAGGUUCUAACCUAGGAGCGUAAUCCGCUUCGGGGACCGUGCAUGGUAGGCAGUUUGACUGGGGCGGUCUCCUCCUAAAGGGUAACGGAGGAGUGCGAAGGUACGCUAGGUACGGUCGGAAAUCGUGCUGAUAGUGCAAUGGCAAAAGCGUGCUUGACUGCGAGACCGACAAGUCGAGCAGAUACGAAAGUAGGUCAUAGUGAUCCGGUGGCUCUGCAUGGAAGGGCCAUCGCUCAACGGAUAAAAGGUACUCUGGGGAUAACAGGCUGAUACCGCCCAAGAGUUCAUAUCGACGGCGGUGUUUGGCACCUCGAUGUCGGCUCAUCUCAUCCUGGGGCUGUAGCCGGUCCCAAGGGUAUGGCUGUUCGCCAUUUAAAGAGGUACGUGAGCUGGGUUUAAAACGUCGUGAGACAGUUU
rnacentral:rRNA from 1 species